rnacentral:rRNA from 1 species
AACGGAAUCUUCGGAUUUAGUGGCGGACGGGUGAGUAACGCGUGAGAAUCUGCCUUCAGGAUGGGGACAACAGUUGGAAACGACUGCUAAUACCCGAUAUGACGAAAGUUGAAAGAUUUAUCGCCUGGAGAUGAGCUCGCGUCAGAUUAGCUAGAUGGUGUGGUAACGGCGCACCAUGGCGACGAUCUGUAGCUGGUCUGAGAGGAUGAGCAGCCACACUGGGACUGAGACACGGCCCAGACUCCUACGGGAGGCAGCAGUGGGGAAUUUUCCGCAAUGGGCGCAAGCCUGACGGAGCAAUACCGCGUGAGGGAGGAAGGCUCUUGGGUCGUAAACCUCUUUUCUCAGGGAAGAACACAAUGACGGUACCUGAGGAAUCAGCAUCGGCUAACUCCGUGCCAGCAGCCGCGGUAAUACGGAGGAUGCAAGCGUUAUCCGGAAUGAUUGGGCGUAAAGCGUCCGUAGGUGGUUAUGUAAGUCUGUGGUUAAAGCGUGGGGCUCAACCCCAUAAGGGCCAUGGAAACUACAAGAC